AUUGAACGCUGGCGGCAGGCCUAACACAUGCAAGUCGAGCGGAUGAAGGGAGCUUGCUCCUGGAUUCAGCGGCGGACGGGUGAGUAAUGCCUAGGAAUCUGCCUGGUAGUGGGGGAUAACGUCCGGAAACGGGCGCUAAUACCGCAUACGUCCUGAGGGAGAAAGUGGGGGAUCCUCGGACCUCACGCUAUCAGAUGAGCCUAGGUCGGAUUAGCUAGUUGGUGGGGUAAAGGCCUACCAAGGCGACGAUCCGUAACUGGUCUGAGAGGAUGAUCAGUCACACUGGAACUGAGACACGGUCCAGACUCCUACGGGAGGCAGCAGUGGGGAAUAUUGGACAAUGGGCGAAAGCCUGAUCCAGCCAUGCCGCGUGUGUGAAGAAGGUCUUCGGGUUGUAAAGCACUUUAAGUUGGGAGGAAGGGCAGUAAGUUAAUACCUUGCUGUUUUGACGUUACCAACAGAAUAAGCACCGGCUAACUUCGUG
rnacentral:rRNA from 1 species